GUCCGUUUGCCGACAGUAGCGUGUUAACGCAUCAGUGACAGAGCAGGCAGUGGAUCAAUCACAGCACAGCAGAGUUGUCAUAUCCAUUACAGCCAACUUAUAUAUUGUUUGUUAAAACUCAAAAGCGUCAGUUAGACUAUAAUAAUGUCUGCACCAAAGAAAGGAGACCUGACCGACACGGAGAAGGAGCUACUUCAAGUUAUUGCUGCAGGUAAUGUUCAAGAAGCCUCUAGACUGCUUGGAUCCAAAGAUGUCAGGGUAAACUGUCUGGAUGAGUAUGGCAUGACGCCUCUCAUGCACGCUGCAUAUAAGGGCAAGGCAGACAUGUGCAAACUGCUGCUGCAGCAUGGAGCAAACGUCAACUGCAAUGAACAUGAACAUGGAUACACCGCACUCAUGUUUGCAGGACUCUCAGGAAAGACAGAUAUCACCUGGAUGAUGUUGGAUGCUGGAGCCGAGACGGAUGCAGUGAACUCAGUCGGCAGAACAGCAGCACAAAUGGCUGCUUUUGUAGGGCAGCAUGACUGUGUGACAGUCAUCAAUAACUUCUUCUCCCGGGCGAGGCUGGAUUACUACACAAAACCACAGGGGCUGGAAAAGGAACCAAAACUCCCUCCUAAACAUGCUGGAGCCCUACACAAAAUUAUAAUGAGUACCAACCUCAACCCUGUAAAGAUAGUGAUGUUGGUGAAAGAAAACCCUCUGCUAAUGGAUGUGGAAGCGCUUGAGAAGUGCCGGAAGGUUCUGGAGCUGAUCUGUGAGAAGUGCAUCAAACAGCAGGACAUGAAUGAGGUGUUGGCCAUGAAGAUGCACUACCUCAGCUGUGUGUUGCAGAAGUGUGGCUCUUUCCUGAAAGAGCAGCAGGACAACCUUGAUGGCUUAAUCAAGAGUCUUUUGAAAGGGCGAGAUGGUGAUGGUUUCCUGGUAUUCCAGGAGAAGUUCAUUCGGGAGUGCAUUAGGAAAUUUCCAUACUGCGAUGCCACAUUACUGCAGCAGCUGGUCCGGAGUAUCGCUCCAGUGGAAAUUGGAAGUGACCCCACUGCUCUGUCGGUGCUCACGCAGGCCAUCACAGGACAGGUGGGUUUCAUGGAUGCAGACUUCUGUACAACCUGUGGUGAGAAAGGAGCAGAGAAAAGAUGCUCCAUCUGCAAAAUGGUGAUCUACUGUGACCAGGCCUGUCAGAAGCUGCACUGGUUCAGUCAUAAAAAGGUCUGUAAGAUGUUACAGGAGCAGAGAGAGAAACACGAAGCUGAGUCUGCAUCUCGACUACAGAAACAGGCCAGAGCUGAGGCUGAUCAAGUAUUGGAGGAGAUGACCGGCACUAUGGAGGAGCUCUCUGUCAGUCAGAGUGAGACCACCAGCUCCUCAGAUAACCAAACCCAAGAUGUUACCUCAGAGACCGUCUUGGUUACUGCAGACUGAAUCACAAAGAAACAAUCAAUUCAACCCAGCAACCAUCACCAUCAUCUUCACUGAAGAAUCAUCUAAGACCAACGAGAGCAGAUCUGUGAUGCCGCCCAGAGGUUCUGAAGGUUUCUUCAUAAUGAAAGCACAUAACGUAGGAGAAAACCACCAAAAGCAUCUCAUUUAGUCUACAACUGAUAAAAUGUAGAUUUCUUUUUGUUUGAUUGUUUUAAAUAAUCUUUUUUACAUUAUGUUGGAUAAAUAUGUAUUUAUGUAUGUGAAAAUAAUGUAUUGAGAGUCUUAUGUGUGAUGCAGAUUUUGCUUUAAUACAGAUAUUAUAAUAUAUUGCUGCAAGACCUAUGCCUUAAAAUAUUUAGUUUGUUCUUAUGGAAAAGAAUCAAAUGAAUAGAUGGCAGCAGCUACGUGAGUUUUAAUAAAUCUGUAGCAUUUAUCUGAAGGCAACAGGAUUUUUGGAGAUAACUGAUAUUGAAAUACAGUAAAACGGUUUCACAAAUCAAAUAAAUAGAUUUUCUGUCCGCAAGUUACAAACUAAUAGAUCACAUGUUCUUUGAGGAACAUAUAUCAAAUAUUAGCACUUGCAAUACAAAUAUUUCAGAAAACACAUUAGUCGUGACAAUGUUUAUUGAGUUUGAAAUGACCACGUAUGAGCUGUUUUUCAUUGAUUUAAACCACUUGGCCUUGUCAGAUGUUCCAUCGUGUGAACAAGAGUGAAGGCAGAGGUCUGGAAAUCAUCUGAGUUUGACAGUGAGUAUACCAGAUGCAGGUUUGCUCAAGCCAUCUAGAUGGUUCCACUGAGACGUGCUUGUACCAGUCCAGUUCAUAACGGAGAACUGUAUGAUGGAUUUGGGCACUGAUGGCUUUUCUUGAUUAUCAGAAUGACUGCUUGAGAAACAUACAAAUUUACCUGCUUGUUUUGUGGUGGAGCUGGUCAAUUUUCUUCCUGUAGGAGGCGGCAGAGCUCGUCUGCCAAAGGCGAUAGUAUCAAGCACCCUCUGUCUUUCUAUACUGAACAGCUUAAAUGCCUGUCUCCUUUCCUCCUGCUUCACUUCUGCCAAUUAUACAAUAACUCACUGAUUAAAAUUCUGGAAUAAUUAGGACUUUUUAUGUUUUUAAUGAAGUCCCUUAUGCUUACCGAGACUGCAUUUAUUUACUUAAAUGUACAGUAAAUACGGUAAUAUUCUGAAAUGUUGUUACAAUUUACAAUAGCUGUUUUCUGUUUUAAUAUAUCAUAUAGUGUAAUCUAUUCCUGUGAUGGCUAAGCUGAAUUUUCAGCAUCAUUCUCCAGUCUUACAUGAUCCUUUAGAAAUCAUUCUAAUAUACAUUUAAAUCUUACCCCAAACAUUGUAAGCAGCAACUGUUUUCAGCAUGGAUAAUGAUGAAAAAUUAGUUGAUCCAAUCACAUAAUUAGCCAAUGUUGUAUGUCGUAUUAUUCAUUUUUACAGCAUUUUGAAAUCUUUGAUCACUUUUGGUGAAUUAUUCUAAUAUUGGAAGUUUGUAUGAUUAUGGAUGCCAACCUUUUCUAUCUAAAAACCUCACAGAUGGCAAAUGGUGCAGCACAUAUUGGUGAUAUUCAGGAUCUUGUGUGAAGGGGUUCAGAUAUAAAGCUGAAAAAGAAGAUUUGCCAAUA